rnacentral:sRNA from 1 species
AACGCGCGGUCCUCGCGGGCCUCGCUGGGACCCCCUAGGAGAUGAGGCCGCGAGGUCUCCCGCCGCUCCUGGUGGUGCUCCUGGGCUGCUGGGCCUCCGUGAGCGCCCAGACCGAGGCCACCCCGGCGGUGACGACAGAGGGCCUCAACUCCACCGAGGCAGCCCUGGCCACUUUCGGAACUUCCCCGUCGACCAGGCCCCCCGGGACUCCCAGGGCUCCAGGGCCCUCCUCGGGCCCCAGGCCUACCCCGGUCACGGACGGGGCGACAGCCAGUUUUGUAGUCAAAAAGCGGUCAUCUAUUCAUUGAAUUUUACAGCAAACCCACCUCAAAGAAAGUACCUGAUGAAAACAAUUUUGAUACACUGAUGAAAACAUCUGAUGGUUUUACAUUGAAUGCUGAAUCAUAUAUUUCCUUCACAACCAAACUGGAUAUUCCUACUGCUGCUAAAUAUGAGUAUGGGGUUCCUCUGCAGACUUCAGAUUCGUUUCUGAGAUUUCCUUUGUCCCUAACAUCAUCUCUGUGCACUGAUGAUAACCCUGCAGGUAAGAAAGUGGUCAUUCUUCUUUCCUU